rnacentral:rRNA from 1 species
UACGAAGGGGGCUAGCGUUGCUCGGAAUUACUGGGCGUAAAGGGCUCGUAGGCGGUUUGUCGCGUCGGGAGUGAAAUCCACUGGCUUAACUGGUGGCUUGCUUUCGAUACGGGCAGACUGGAGGUAUGCAGGGGAGAACGGAAUUCCUGGUGUAGCGGUGAAAUGCGCAGAUAUCAGGAGGAACACCGGUGGCGAAGGCGGUUCUCUGGGCAUGUCCUGACGCUGAGGAGCGAAAGUGUGGGGAGCGAACAGG